AUUGAACGCUGGCGGCAUGCUUUACACAUGCAAGUCGAACGGUAACAGGCCGCAAGGUGCUGACGAGUGGCGAACGGGUGAGUAAUGCAUCGGAACGUGCCCAGUCGUGGGGGAUAACGCAGCGAAAGCUGUGCUAAUACCGCAUACGAUCUAUGGAUGAAAGCGGGGGACCGUAAGGCCUCGCGCGAUUGGAGCGGCCGAUGUCAGAUUAGGUAGUUGGUGGGGUAAAGGCUCACCAAGCCAACGAUCUGUAGCUGGUCUGAGAGGACGACCAGCCACACUGGGACUGAGACACGGCCCAGACUCCUACGGGAGGCAGCAGUGGGGAAUUUUGGACAAUGGGCGCAAGCCUGAUCCAGCAAUGCCGCGUGCAGGAAGAAGGCCUUCGGGUUGUAAACUGCUUUUGUACGGAGCGAAAAGGUCUGGGUUAAUGCCCUGGGCUGAUGACGGUACCGUAAGAAUAAGCACCGGCUAACUACGUGCCAGCCGCCGCCGUAACAC
rnacentral:rRNA from 1 species